rnacentral:ncRNA from 2 species
CAUUAUAUAGGCGAUGGAGUUCGCCGUAUAACCGCCGCGAGGCUAAUGACUCCUACCAGAGA